CACGCCGUAAACGAUGGAUACUAGGUGUGGGAGGUAUUGACCCCUUCCGUGCCGGCGUUAACACAAUAAGUAUCCCACCUGGGGAGUACGAUCGCAAGGUUGAAACUCAAAGGAAUUGACGGGGGCCCGCACAAGCAGUGGAGUAUGUGGUUUAAUUCGAAGCAACGCGAAGAACCUUACCAGGUCUUGACAUCCCGAUGACCGGUGUAGAGAUACACCUUCUCUUCGGAGCAUCGGUGACAGGUGG
rnacentral:rRNA from 1 species